rnacentral:rRNA from 1 species
GUCUUAUUGAAAAUAAUUUUAAGUCAAUCUGCCCAAUGAAUAAUUUAUUUUAAUGGCUGCAGUAUAACUAACUGUACAAAGGUAGCAUAAUCAAUUGGUUUUUAAAUGAAAUCUGGAAUGAAAGGAUUAAUGAAAUAUAUACUGUCUCAUAUUUAUUUUAUGAAUUUAAAAUUUUAAUAAAAAUGUUAAAAUUUAUUUAUGGGACGAUAAGACCCUAUAGAAUUUUAUAUUAAAUUAAUUUUGUAAUUAAAUAUAAAAUUUAAUUUAAUAUUUAAUUGGGAGAAUUAUUAAAUUUAAUAAAUUUUAAUUAAUAAAAACUUUAAUUAAAGAAAAUUUAUUGAUUUUUAAUUUAAAAUUAAUAGAUUAAAUUACCUUAGGGAUAACAGCGUAAUAUUUUUUUAUAGAUCUUAUAGAAAAAAAUGAUUGCGACCUCGAUGUUGAAUUAAGAUAAAUUUUAAAUGUAGAAGUUUAAUAAUUAAGUCUGUUCGACUUUUAAAAUCUUACAUGAUUUGAGUUCAAAUCGACGUAAGU